rnacentral:rRNA from 1 species
UGGUGGAGUGAUUUGUCUGGUUAAUUCCGAUAACGAACGAGACCUUAACCUGCUAACUAGGCCGCCUAACUUUUUGUUGGGUGUUCUUCUUAGAGGGACUGAGUACAGUAUAGUACUUGGAAGUUUGAGGCAAUAACA